rnacentral:rRNA from 1 species
GGCUCUUUGUUAUAUAUAAGAUAUAGAGUCGGGCCUGCCCAGUGAAGUUUUUAACGGCCGCGGUACCCUGACCGUGCAAAGGUAGCAUAAUCAUUUGCCUUAUAAUUGAAGGCUAGUAUGAAUGGUUUGACGAAGGUAUAACUGUCUCCCCCUUAAUAAUUAGAAUUUGACCUAUCGGUGAAGAGGCCGGUGUUAUGUUAAAGGACGAGAAGACCCUAUCGAGCUUUAAAGAAAAACAGAAUACUUUAUUUGUCCAAUCUAUACUGUUAUAUACUUUUUGGUUGGGGCGACCGGGGAACAUAUGAAACUUCCUCUCACAAAAUAAAAUUGAUCUAUUAUAUGAUCCGGCAAAGCUGAUUAAAAGAAUUAGUUACCGUAGGGAUAACAGCAUAAUCCUUUUUGAGAGCCCGAAUCGAAAAAGGGGGUUAUGACCUCGAUGUUGGACUAGGAUAUCCUAAAGGUGCAGAAGCCUUAGAUGGUUAGUCUGUUCGACUAUUAAAAUCCUACG